rnacentral:rRNA from 1 species
CCUACGGGUGGCAGCAGUAGGGAAUUUUCGUCAAUGGGCGCAAGCCUGAACGAGCGAUGCCGCGUGAGUGAAGAAGGCCUUCGGGUUGUAAAGCUCUGUUGCCGGGGAAAAAAGGCAGCAUCAGGAAAUGGGUGCUGACUGAUGUUGCCCCGACAGAAAGUCACGGCUAACUCCGUGCCAGCAGCCGCGGUAAUACGUAGGUGGCGAGCGUUAUCCGGAAUGACUGGGCGUAAAGGGUGCGCAGGCGGUCUUGCAAGUCUGGAGUGAAACGCAUGAGCUCAACUCAGGAAUGGCUUUGGAAACUGGAGGACUGGAGGGCAGGAGAGGGCGGUAGAAUUCCAUGUGUAGAGGUAAAAUGCGUAGAGAUAUGGAAGAACACCAGUGGCGAAGGCGGCCGCCUGGCCUAUUGCUGACGCUGAGGCACGAAAGCGUGGGGAGCAAAUAGGAUUAGAUACCCCUGUAGUC